rnacentral:tRNA from 1 species
GGUAGUUCAGUUGGUUAGAAUACCUGCCUGUCACGCAGGGGGUCGCGAGUUCGAGUCUCGUCC